GAUGAACGCUGGCGGCGUGCUUAACACAUGCAAGUCGAACGAUUGAAGCUGGAGCUUGCUCCGGCCGAUUUAGUGGCGGACGGGUGAGUAACGCGUGGGUAACCUGCCUCAUACAGGGGGAUAGCAGUUGGAAACGACUGGUAAAACCGCAUAAGCGCACGGUAUCGCAUGAUACAGUGUGAAAACACUCCGGUGGUAUGAGAUGGACCCGCGUCUGAUUAGCUAGUUGGUGAGGUAACGGCCCACCAAGGCGACGAUCAGUAGCCGGCCUGAGAGGGUGAACGGCCACAUUGGGACUGAGACACGGCCCAAACUCCUACGGGAGGCAGCAGUGGGGAAUAUUGCACAAUGGGGGAAACCCUGAUGCAGCGACGCCGCGUGAGUGAUGAAGUAUUUCGGUAUGUAAAGCUCUAUCAGCAGGGAAGAUAAUGACGGUACCUGACUAAGAAGCACCGG
rnacentral:rRNA from 1 species